CCAGCGUCAUUGCGAGGAGCGUAGCGACGGAGCAAUCCAGCUCUUGCUUGCGAUUCUGGAUUGCUUCGCUUCACUCGCAAUGACGAACGAAAAUCCGAACUACCGCGGCAGGGGCGGCAACGGGGGCGGGGNNNNNNNNNNUACGCCACGCGCCGGCGUUGCGACCCGCGAUCAUCCAGUAAAUCACGCCGCCGAGAAUUCC
rnacentral:misc_RNA from 1 species